GAUGAAGAACGCAGCGAAAUGCGAUAAGUAAUGUGAAUUGCAGAAUUCAGUGAAUCAUCGAAUCUUUGAACGCACAUUGCGCCCCCUGGUAUUCCGGGGGGCAUGCCUGUUCGAGCGCCAUUUCACCACUCAAGCCUCGCUUGGUAUUGGGCAACGCGGUCCGCCGCGUGCCUCAAAUCGACCGGCUGGGUCUUCUGUCCCCUAAGCGUUGUGGAAACUUUCGCUAAAGGGUGUUCGGGAGGCUACGCCGUAAAACAACCCCAUUUCUAAGGUUGACCUCGGAUCAGGUAGGGAUACCCGCUGAACUUAAGCAUAUCAAUAAGCGGAGGA
rnacentral:misc_RNA from 1 species